UUUAAAUAUAUUAUUUAUUAUAAUUAAAUAAAUUAUUUAUUGAAUUUAUAUAUAGUACUUAUAUACUCAUAUUAACAAUACUAAAGCUUUCAGCAAAUAUAUUUGAAUACCUCAUGUUUAACAGCGAUACAUAUUUAACAUAAUAAUUAUACACAAAAAUAAAAGCUUAAUUAAUUUAUUUAUGUCAGAUUAGGUGAAUUUGAAGUUGAAAACAGGUUUUACUGUUUUUAAAUCUGUUUAUUCAAAUAUUGUCUUACGAAUCCCAGAAAUUUAUUUUAUAUCAUGUUCGGCUUAAAUUUAUAACUAUCUAACUCCUUGACUCUUCCAAUUUUUAUUUUAAUUAAAUUAUAAUAUGUUUUAUUGUGUACAAAUAUUAAGGAUAGUAAAUAAUUUAUAGCAAACAUUAUAGAAAUAUGACAGAAAUGUACAAUUUUGUAUGUGUGAUGAACGGAAGAAGACACCCUUAUUUAUAGUUACUAUGAAAGCUUGAUAGUUAUCUCUAAUAUUAUUGAAGUGUUAUGGUAUACUUCCUUUUAUUUAUAGGAGUUAAUAUUAAAAAAAAUGUAAAUUGGAAACCGGUGUCCUCGAUUGUAAUAAUGAAUUGGACGAUAAAAUGAAGACAAUCUAUUUUUUUGCUGUCAUCUUCCAUUCCACUUCAUUUUGAAUAAUUUUAAUACACCACAAAAAAAAUGGCUUUGGGUCAGCUGAUUAAUUUUUUUAAUGGAUUUGGAAUCCAAUUUUUAACAUUAUGUCGAUUUUUAUAUCUUUAUAUUGUUCUCAACUUAUCCUUUUUGACUCAUUCUAAAAAUGUAUAUUGACAGCGAUGUCUCGAGCAUAAUAACUACAUAUUUUUUAUUAUCGUUUACUAUAUUAUUACGGAAUUUCGCUGCUAUGUACUUCUACAUACAUAAGAAACCGUUCAAAAACAACGAGUAUGACGUAUUAAGUACAUGUGUGCGUAAAGCGAUUAUUCGCCGUCCUUUAAGGGGUAGCCUGCUUUUGAAGCUUCAAAAAACCGAUUUUUUUUUGCUUAAAUCUCUUUAAAAAUAAUCUAAGAAUAUUUCCCCAAAGUUAUAGAUGGGAAUUCGAAAUAUUUUCGAAACUAGAGCGGAAAUAGUGACCGAGCCGCUUGGGCAGAAAGCGAAAACUUUGACGCGCGAUUUCUCGGUUUUUAAUUUUUACGAUUUUUCUUAAUUGGCGGGCAGGAUAGGAAAAAAACUAAACAUCGUAUGGAAUUGGGGCAAAGUUUAUUAUCUAUGGUAUUAAAUUAUAUUUUAUUUAAACUAAAAAAAAGAAAAGAAAAGUCAAUUUUGAACAUAUUUUUAACAACAUAAAGUCAAAUUUUGUGGUCAAAACCCACUUUUUUCUAUUUAUAAAAAAAACGUAAAAUUUUACAAUUUUUGUGGAAAUUUUUUUUAGUUUACCUAGAAGAUAAAUUAUUAAAUCUCUUGAAUUUUUUGUUUCCGACAGAAAUUGCGACCUGCAUCCUGCCCGCCGUCCGACAAAUGCACAUACGAGAUAUAUCGGACAAUUGCUUCCCAAAGGCAAAAUAUCAAAGAUUUCGUAUCCAAAAAAUUUAUGAAUGAUGUUUAA